rfam:Schistosoma haematobium scaffold1304_28, whole genome shotgun sequence.
GUCCAACUGACGAGUCCCAAAUAAGACGAAACCUGUGUCCUAGAU